rnacentral:antisense_RNA from 1 species
GCUAGAACUGGACACCUCGGGGGUUUCCUGCUUUAUGGCGAAGGAUGGAGUUUUGCUCUUGUUGCCCAAGCUGGAGUGCAAUGGUGUGAUCUUGGCUCACUGCAACCUCUGCUUCCUGGGUUCAAGUGAUUCCCCUGCCUCAGCCUCCCGAGUAGCAGGGAUUACAGAUGGAGCCUCACUCUGUCACCCAGGCUGGAGUGCAGUGGCACAAUCUCGGGUCACUGCAACCUCCGCCCCCCAGGUUCAAGCGAUUCUCCUGUCUCAGCCUCCCGAGUAGCUAGGAUUACAGGUGCAUGCCACCAGGCCUGGAUAAUUUUUAUAUUUUUAGUAGAGUUGGGAUUUUGCCAUGUUGGCCAGGCUGGUCUCAAACUCCUGACCUCAGGUGACCCAUCCACCUCAGCCUCCCAAAGUGCUGGGACUACAGGUGUGAGCCACCAUGCCUGGUCCCCCACUUGUUGAUUUUGCAGAAAAGAUAGCUGUGUUACAACCCGUCCUAAGGUCAGGUAUGAAUACUUGUGCUUCUUUCUUGGCUCCCCAAGCCAGAGGGCAUUCCUAUGCCCUGGUGAGAGAGCACGGAGUAUUACUUUGGCAGCAUAGUCAGUUACCAGAGGUGGGAAAAGCAAAGGCCAAGCAGGACAUGAGGGGCCCUUGCACUGGCUGGUUCUCCCUGCCUUCACCACCCUCCAGGUGAAUGACUAGGUGAGUAAUGAUUGACUGAGGAGGUAAUGAAUAAUUUAUGGACACUGCUGGACCUCAGUCUCCUCAUCUGAAAGAUGAGUGGUUGGAGAAGUUUAAUGGUUUUCAAAUGCUUUUUUUUUCAGUCUUCAAAUAAGUGUUUACGUAGAAGCACCAUAUCUGAAACAGGUGACAGUGGACCAGUCUGAAUGAAAUGAGGGUUGGCAGGUCUGAGCUCCAAAACCUUCUGAUUGCCUAAGCCCUCCUUGUCUUGCUUGGAUUAUCUCCACACAAAUGGAGAAACUGGACAAGGUGGUCAUGGAGGUCGCUGAAAGCUCAAAGACUCUCUCAUUCCAGGAUCCCCCAUGUUCAUAUGCCAGCAUGGCAUGGGGGUGCUCUGUAGUCAAGCAGGGUCCUUUGGGGAGCUUAGGGAUGGAGCCAGGAAAUGGCUCUGGGACUCAGCGGGUGUCCAGAGUCUCAUCAGCAGGGUUUCUUUACUUUCACUGAGUGGCUGGUGCCUGCACACUGAGUUUUGCAGGCUUACUCUCACAGAGUGAGCUUCCUGCAGGCCCCCCACUGCAACCCCCUUUCCUUCCUGGAGCUGUGUGCUGACUGGUGGGUGAGCACCCAGGCCCUCUCCCCAUGCUGCUGAUGGCCAGAUUUCUCUGCACGCUUGUGGUCGCCACAGUCAAAGCUGAUAAAAUUGCUGAUGCAGAUUGCCUGCCCAGCUGCGAGUGCUGGCACGGGACCAGCGGCCCAGACGGUCACUGGAAGUGGUGGGCUGAUUAUUGGCAUCAUCUCCAUUGUCCUACUCAGUUUUUAAAGGCAAAUGGGCUUGCCUCACUCCUACAGCAAAUGGCGGCAUGGGCAAAGAGGGGCAACAGACCCACCCUGAAGACACUCCUCAUCUGGUUGACUUGGUGGGGUUAAGGGAAAAAGAUGUGAUGACUAGGAGCUGAGAGCUUAGUGGUUCUGCCAGAGCUGCAGAGUCUUUGUUGGCCUCGGGGUGGGACCUCUCACAUCUCUGUCAGCUUUUCACAGACACCAACCUGUUAUGAUUCAUUUCACCUGUCCUGAGCACUAACAAGAAAAAUUCCCUGUAGCUUUGGAUGUAUUAUUCUGGAUUUCUCAACUCAUUCAUUUGUUCAUUCAUUCACUAUACCAUUACUGUCUAUUAUAAGGGGGGCACAAUGGUAGGUGCUGGGAAUAAAAAUGGUGUUUAAUGUUUCAUGAGGCUUCCCUGUCCUUAAGGAGUCCGCGUGUCUUUGUACCUCUCUGUCUGCUAGAUUAUUAAGCAACACUGUGAGAAGCUACUGAGAGCAGCAUGUGGGACAUGCAGAAGGGCAAGAGGCAAGAGAGAUGAUUCAUGUCAGAGGGGCAGGGGAGGACUCACGGAGAGAGUGAUGUUUGAGCUGAGUCAUGAAGGCUAGUGGUAUUUUUCCAUGCAGAGAAGUGGGAGGAAAGGCAUUCUGUGUGGAGGGCACACGGUGUGCAAGGGCAGAGAGGUGUGAGCGAGGGUGGCGUGCUCGGGGCCAGGAUGAGUGGCCAAAGGUGGGGCUAGGAAGUGGUGGCUGAGGUCAUUAUGUGAAGGCUUUGUGCUACUGCUUCAGAGUUGUGGAACCUGAUGUCGCAGUCUGGGAAAGAUGCUGAUGGCAAGGGAUAGCAUCAUCAGGUUGUGCUGCCAUCCCUGAAAGGCCCAAGCUCAAAGGUUUUGGGUGAAGGAAGCCAGGAGGGUUAGAAAGAGAGGAAGAUGCCAGGGCAUCUGGUAAAAUAAAGCAUGUGUCAG